AUUGAACGCUGGCGGCAGGCCUAACACAUGCAAGUCGAACGAGUGGCGGACGGGUGAGUAAUGUCUGGGAAACUGCCCGAUGGAGGGGGAUAACUACUGGAAACGGUAGCUAAUACCGCAUACCAUCGGAUGUGCCAAGAUGGGAUUAGCUAGUAGGUGGGGUAACGGCGCACCUAGGCGACGAUCCCUAGCUGGUCUGAGAGGAGGAACAGCCACAAUGGACGUGAGCCACGGUCCAUGCUCCUACGGUAGGCAGCAGUGGGGAAUAUUGCACAAUGGGCGCAAGCCUGAUGCAGCCAUGCCGCGUGUAUGAAGAAGGCCUUCGGUUUGUAAAGUACUUUCAGCGAGGAGGCGUUACUCGCAGAAGAAGCACCGGCUAACUCCGUGCCAGCAGCCGCGGUAAUUC
rnacentral:rRNA from 1 species